CCAACAAUUUUUUCCCGCUCUACCAACGGCCGCCGUAGUAUGGACGACCCCAUCCGCCACCAUAGGGACGGCCCCAUCCACCGCCGUAGGGGCGGCCGUAACCGCCACCCCAUCCGCCACCGUAGGGGCGACCGUAGCCGCCACCCCAUCCACCUCCAUAGGGACGACCGCCGCCCCAUCCGUAACGCUGUUCUUCGGUUUGUUGCGGUUUCUUGGAUAUGGCUGUCGUCGUUGACCAUGUCGUCAUCCAUCAAGACCAUCCCAUCCACCAUCCCAAUAGGAACAGCAUGGCGGCUUUCCCGAACAGCGGGAUUUGCGAACGCAACGCCGAGCGUCACAAUUAAGCUGUUCAUUCUGAGAUGUUGACCAACGACGUUAGUCAGAGUUCUGAUACUGACUCCAGUGAAGAGCUUGAGCUUAUAUACCACCGAGGCUUUUCUGCAAUUUCGUUGGGAACCAAUUCUACACAAAGUUAAUGCUAUAGGUUUGGGAAACUUCGAGUGAUUGCUGUUCAUCUCAUCUUCAUCCAACACGAUGAAUCCGUCCAUCAUGCCAACGUAAAUCAUCUGGCGUUCGUCUUCCCCUACUGGAUUGGCUGCAGCAGUAUGAAGGGCUACAACAAGACAGUAAAAUAGUUCAUGGUGAAUCCGGUCAAGGUUGUCGGAAUUCUGAUACGGAAACGAAGAAGGACUUUGAACUUAUAUAGCCUACCGAAG